rnacentral:rRNA from 1 species
GAAGAGCGUCUGUUAAUGUUGCUGCGCUUGAAACGCUCGUCGUUGAAUCUCUGGCAAUUGCCUACGGACACUUCUAUUGUGGUACCGUAGGAAAGUGCCUUUUUGUAUCUAUUCGUCGUUGAUUCACUUAAUUGUGUGUCACGUUCGAGAGCCACUUUCACUUUGGAGAAAUCAGUGUGCUCAUAACAGGCUUAUGCCUGCAUAUAACUGCAUGGGAUGAUGAAACUGGGCCUUUGACUCGUUUCGUUGGUUUACGAUUGCAAAGGCCAUGAUUAAUCGGGACAGACGGGGGCAUUCGUAUUGCGUCGAUAGAAGUGAAAUUCGGUGACCGACGUAAGACGAACAAUCGCGAAAGCAUUUGCCAAGAAUGUUUUCAUUAAUCAAGAACGAAAGUUAGAGUAUCGAAGACGAUUAGAUACCGUCCUAGUUCUAACUGUAAACGAUGCCAACCAGGGUUUCGUCAUAGCUUAUAUGCUUGACGAGCACCCUCCGGGAAACCUGAGUAAUCGGGUUCCGGGGGGAGUAUGGUUGCAGAAUCGAAACUUAAAGGAAUUGACGGAAGGGCACACCAGGAGUGGAGCCUGCGGCUUAAUUUGACUCAACGCACGAUAGCCGACUCGGUCCGAACACUUGAAGGAUUGACAGACUGAAAGCUCUUUCUUGAUUUAGUGGGUAGCGGUGCAUGGCCGUUCGUUGUUGGUGAAGUGAUUUGUCUGGUUUAUUCCGAUAACGAACGAGACUCUGGCCUAUUAACUAGCGUAACGUCUUUUUACGUUAUUGAUUGGCUUCUUAAAGGGACAAGUGCUUUCGAAGCACGCGAAAAAGAGCAAUAACAGGUCUGUGAUGCCCUUCGAUGUUCGAGGCUGCACGCGCGCUACAAUGGAGAGCCUAGAGCGUACUAUGUGUUUUGACAAAAAUGCAGAACCGUGAGCGGCCUCCGUUAUUGGGAUCGGAGCUUGAAAUUAUUCCUCGUCAACGAGGAAUUUCUAGUAAGCAUGAGUCAUUACCUCGUGCUGAUUAAGUCCCUGCCCUUUGUACACACCGCCCGUCGCUACUACCGAUCGAACGGUUCGAUGAGGUCUUUUGACUGUCGCAACGUGUGUUUAUACUCACGUUGCAAUUAUGAAAGCUGAUCAAGUUGGACCGUUUAGAGGAAGUAAAAGUCGUAACAAGGUUUCU